GUCAGAUGAUUUGAAUCUUACUUCCUGAACCUCUGUGAGGACCCAUCAUUCUUAUAGCAUGUUAGAGUUCUGAUGGCA
rnacentral:snoRNA from 1 species